UGGCUCAGAACGAACGCUGGCGGCGUGCCUAACACAUGCAAGUCGAGCGAGAAAGCCCGCAAGGGUGAGUAAAGCGGCGCACGGGUGCGUAACACGUGGGUAAUCUGCCCUAGAGUCCGGAAUAACUCGCCGAAAGGCGUGCUAAUGCCGGAUGAGACCACGGGAGCUUCGGCUCCUGCGGGAAAAGGUGGCCUCUGUAUACAAGCUAUCGCUCUAGGAUGAGCCCGCGGCCCAUCAGCUCGUUGGCGGGGUAAUGGCCCACCAAGGCUACGACGGGUAGCUGGUCUGAGAGGACGAUCAGCCACACUGGAACUGAGACACGGUCCAGACUCCUACGGGAGGCAGCAGUGGGGAAUCUUGCGCAAUGGGCGAAAGCCUGACGCAGCAACGCCGCGUGUGUGAUGAAGGUCUUCGGAUCGUAAAGCACUGUCGCGAGGGACGAAUAAGGGGCGGGCUAACAUCCCGUUCCGAUGACGGUACCUCGAGAGGAAGCACCGGCUAACUCUGUGCCAGCAGCCGCGGUAAUACAGAGGGUGCAAGCGUUGUUCGGAAUUAUUGGGCGUAAAGCGCGUGUAGGCGGCCUUGCAAGUUGGGUGUGAAAGCCCUCGGCUUAACCGAGGAAGUGCGCCCAAAACUACGAGGCUUGAGUGCCGGAGAGGGUGGCGGAAUUCCCGGUGUAGAGGUGAAAUUCGUAGAUAUCGGGAGGAACACCAGUGGCGAAGGCGGCCACCUGGACGGUAACUGACGCUGAGACGCGAAAGCGUGGGGAGCAAACAGGAUUAGAUACCCUGGUAGUCCACGCUGUAAACGAUGAGCGCUAGGUGUUGUGGGUGUUGACCCCCGCAGUGCCGCAGCUAACGCAUUAAGCGCUCCGCCUGGGAAGUACGGCCGCAAGGCUAAAACUCAAAG
rnacentral:rRNA from 1 species